AUGAAUGAAGUAUUAAGGGAUGACUAUGCAAAAGAGGAGGUAAAAAGAGCCUUGGAUAGCAUCGACGAUUUGAAAGCCCCAGGACCCGAUGGUAUGCCGGCCAUAUUUUUCAAAAGAUUCUGGAAAAUUGCUGAGAAUCAGAUAACUAAAGAGGUUCUUCAGAUAUUGAGAGGGGGACCUGAAAGGUGGAACGAUACACUAAUAGUGCUAAUCCCAAAGAAUACCAACCCGACAAGCAUGAAGGACCUGAGACCAAUUAGCCUAUGUAAUGUGGUGUAUAAGAUAGUCUCCAAGGUAGUUACCAACAGGCUCAAAGUAAUUCUCCCAGAUAUCAUCUCCCCUAAUUAGAGUGCCUUUGUGCCCAAGAGAUUAAUAUCUGAUAAUAUUCUUUUCGCGUAUGAAUUAACACAUUUCUUGCAAAGAAGAAAAAGAGGCUCAACAUGCUAUGCAGCUAUAAAACUCGACAUGAGCAAAUCCUAUAACCGUGUGGAAUGGACGUUCUUAAGGGAUGUGAUGUGUAGAAUGGGCUUUGACAUGAGUUGGGUUAAAUUGAUAAUGCAAUGCAUCUCUACUAUCAAGUAUCAGAUUAAGGUGAACCAAGAUACAGCAGGUAUGGUCAUACCCCAAAGAGCCUUGAGGCAAGGAGACCCACUCUCUCCAUAUUUAUUUCUCAUUUGUGCAGAGGGGUUCGCCUCCAUGUUACAUGAAGCUGAGAUGAGAGGGUUAUUGACCGGAAUUAAGAUUUGUAGGAAAGCUCCCAGUGUUAGUCAUCUGCUUUUUGCAGGUGAUUCAUUGCUGAUCAUGGAGGCCAAAGCUGAAAGUGCACAGGAAAUCAAUAGAAUUCUGAAUAAUUAUGAACCAUUUUCAGGUCAAAUGAUUAACAAGGAAAAAUCAUCAACAAUGUUCAGUGCAAACACCAGGCAGGAGUUGAAGGAGGAGAUGAGAAGCAUCUUGCAGAUCACCCGGAAAGGUCUACCCUCUAAAUAUUUAGGUGUUCCGUACUAUGUGGGUAAAGCCAAAAAAAGAACCUUUGAAUAUAUAAAGGAGAGAGUUUGGAAGAAGAUUCAAGGUUGGAAGGAAAGACUCCUUUCGAAAGGAGGGAAAGAAAUUCUCAUAAAAGUUGUAGCAUGA
rnacentral:rRNA from 1 species